UACGUAGGGGGCAAGCGUUGUCCGGAUUCAUUGGGCGUAAAGAGCGUGUAGGCGGCCAGGUAGGUCGGUUGUGAAAACUGGAGGCUCAACCUUCAGAGGUCGACCGAAACCAUCUGGCUAGAGUCCGGGAGAGGAGAGUGGAAUUCCUGGUGUAGUGGUGAAAUGCGUAGAGAUCCGGAGGAACCCCAGAGGCGAAGGCGGCAUCCUGGCCCACGACUGACACUCAGACACGACAGCAUGGGGAGCGAACGGG
rnacentral:rRNA from 1 species